rnacentral:rRNA from 3 species
UUGCGCUUAUAUUAUAUAUAUUUAUGGUUAAUAUUAAUUAAUCCCGGGCAACUUCCACUACCCGAACCGUAUUUCGACUUAACACUAAUUAGAGCCACGCAUACGAAGAUUCCCAAUAAAAGAAUAUAUAAAACCUAUUUGUUUUUUUUACUUGUUACUAAGAAAGCAAACUUAUUGCGCAUGCCCCUUUCAGCAUGUGACGAGUGGUUAGUACCAAUCCAAGGUCUAUUCACCGUGACAUGGUGAUUCACGAUUACUAGUAAUUACUUAUUCAUAUAG